rfam:Hordeum vulgare subsp. vulgare, WGS project CAJW01000000 data, contig: morex_contig_2440201
CUAGUACUCCCUCUAUCCGGAAUUACUUGUCGCACAAAUGUAUAAAAUGAAUGUAUCUAGAAUUAAAAUACAUCUAGAUACAUUCAUUCUUAUGACAAGUAUUUUCGGAACCGCAUAGGGAGUAAUUA